AGCGGCGAAAGGGAUAGUAAUUCGCAGAUACCUGCCCUCUGGACGGGGAUAACUUUGGGAAACUGAAGUUAAUACCCGAUAAAAUCUUCGGAUCAAAGGUGCGAUUCCGCCGGAGGAGGGGUUUGCGUCCUAUCAGGUAGAUGGUGAGGUAACGGCUCACCAUGCCAAUGACGGGUAGCGGGUGUGAGAGCAUGACCCGCAUCACUGGGACUGAGACACUGCCCAGACACCUACGGGUGGCUGCAGUCGAGAAUCUUCGUCAAUGGACGAAAGUCUGAACGAGCGAUGCCGCGUGCGGGAGGAAGGUCUUCGGAUUGUAAACCGCUGUCAGUAAUUUUGGAAAUGCUAGGUGGCAAUCCACCUAGUUUGACCUGGUUUCAGAGGAAGGACGGGCUAAGUUCGUGCCAGCAGCCGCGGUAAUACGAACCGUCCCAACGUUAUUCGGAAUCACUGGGCUUACAGGGUGCGUAGGCUGUUGUUUAAGUCAGGUGUGAAAUCCCUCGGCUCAACCGAGGAACUGCAUUUGAUACUGUACAACUUGAGGGAGAUAGGGGUGAGCGGAACUGAGAGUGGAGCGGUGAAAUGCGUUGAUAUUCUCAGGAACACCGGUGGCGAAAGCGGCUCACUGGAUCUUUUCUGACGCUGAGGCACGAAAGCUAGGGUAGCGAACGGGAUUAGAUACCCCGGUAGUCCUAGCC
rnacentral:rRNA from 1 species